GACGAACGCUGGCGGCGUGCUUAACACAUGCAAGUCGAACGAUGAAGCCGGAGCUUGCUCUGGUGAAUUAGUGGCGAACGGGUGAAUAACACGUGAGUAACCUGCCCUUGACUCUGGGAUAACUGCGGGAAACUGUAGCUAAUACCGGAUACGACCCUCGGAGGCAUCUCCUGGGGGGUGGAAAGAAUUUCGGUCAAGGAUGGACUCGCGGCCUAUCAGCUAGUUGGUGAGGUAAAGGCUCACCAAGGCGACGACGGGUAGCCGGCCUGAGAGGGUGACCGGCCACACUGGGACUGAGACACGGCCCAGACUCGUACGGGAGGCAGCAGUGGGGAAUAUUGCACAAUGGGCGCAAGCCUGAUGCAGCAACGCCGCGUGAGGGAUGACGGCCUUCGGGUUGUAAACCUCUUUUAGCAGGGAAGAAGCGAAAGUGACGGUACCUGCAGAAAAAGCACCGGCUAACUACGUGCCAGCAGCCGCCGCCG
rnacentral:rRNA from 1 species